AUUCCAUAUGGUUAUGCAUUUUCUUUUUCCAUUCAUUCAAAGCGUUUAUAUAAAUAUAUACUAGAUUUUAACCGCGGAGCAAUUUAUUUUUUAAAUUAAUAUAUAUAAAAGUUUGCAAAUUGUAUUUAUCUAUAAAAUAGUUUUAUUUUAUAACGUCCUGCCAAACCCGUCCCGUCAACCCGUCCUGUAAAAAAAUUUAUUUAUUUUAUUAAUGUUGAUCUUAUUAUGAUAUGUUUAUAAAUUAUUGUCUAAAUAUUUUAUAAUUUUGUAGUAAUUAAAUGUUAUCAAAUAUCUUUGCGGUUUGAUGAUUAUAAUCGAAUUGUUAUAAUCAUGCAGAAAAGCAAUAUCAAAAAUGAUAAUUUUGUAGUAAUUAAAUGAUAUUAAAUAUUUUGGAAGUUUUAUUUUAGUAAUUAAUCGUGUAGUUAAGGUCGAGAGAUUUUAAGAAGAUUGUUAAAUGUCAAAUAUUUAAUUAGAAUAUUUUCUUUCUAAUUAUCAAAAACAAACAUUAAAAUCCAGUGGCAGUCAUUGUAAAUAAAUCUUAACUAUAGGAUUUAUUUCACAAAAUAACUGCAAAU
rnacentral:sRNA from 1 species